rnacentral:lncRNA from 1 species
AUGUAUCAAAAUCGAUCGCUUUCAUCUUUCCCGAUAAUUAACCUUCCAUCCACACAUCAAACCGUCUAAUUAUGUACUUCCUCGUCCGCUCUUAACCUUCAAUUUCUUUUUAUUUUUAUUUUCCCGUUGUCAGUAAGCUCCUUCCUUUUUUAUUUCUUCUUUUUCUUUGAUUUUCCCGUUUGUUAGGAAGCUCCUUCCGUUUUCCUCGCCAUAGCCAAACUUCCAACCCCAUCGAUACGACACCAGUGACCUGUGACGAAAUGGAAGAACGCCACCUGCCAACGGAGGCGCCGAACAGAAGAAGAAGAAGCUCGUCUUCGCAAAACGGAGUCCCUAGCGAACCCGACGGCCUGCGGAGGCGACGGACUGCCACCGCCAAACGAAGCCAUGGAAUUUCCAUUGCUUCGGGUGAACGAUUCUCUGCUGAGGUUUGUUCUGGGCUUCAUGCAGCUUGCUAUAGAUUAGGUAACGCCCGGCACAUCCGAAUUUUAUUAAGAUGAUUUAAUACUUGAGCUGGAUUUUGAGUUCGAUUCGUUUGGUGCUGCAAUUGUGCGGGAACUUGAAGGAUGUGUCGUUGAAUUUGUUUGAGAGACGCUGAAUCAGUGUUUCUUGGUGAGUUCUG